GAAAUGUGAAAUAGGAGCUCACAUUUCGGGUGGACGAUAAUCGACAUUAUGGUACAGUAUAUGGGAAUGUAGCCUGACCAAAGUGUGGUUCUUACCCUUGUCUCCACCUCUCUACAGGGUAUGGACGGGCAUGUGGGUCCCUCCGGUCCAGCCGGACCAAAGGGGAACAUUGGUGAGAGAGGAGCUGCAGGUGAACCCGGGCCAAGGGGGCUUUAUGGACUUCCUGGAGCGGCUGGAACACCUGGCCUUGAUGUGAGUGAGGCAGUUCUGUCAGAUUGUGAUAUCUGUAAUUCCUAUAUCCCAAACUGUUUUUUAUUCAUUUCUUCUUCAAGAGGAGAGUAAUUUCAUUUCACCAUGAAAGUACGCAAGUAUGCACUGUAUCAAAGUACAUUCUGGAUGUAUAAGGCUGUCAAAAGUACACACGUUUUCCCCAUAAUGCUCUCUCUGUAUCCCCUUUUGUUCUCUCUGAAUCUCUUUUACUGUCCCCCUCUCUAUUUCCUCCUCUCUGUUCAUCCUCUUGCUUUUCUAGGGAAUGUAACAUUGUCAUAGAGGGAACUGAACCUCCUUGGAUGUUCUAUCUAUACCGUUCCUAGAUCCGGUCUUAUCAGAUGCACUACCCAGGGCACCAGUAUUGAACUAGAGUUGUAUGUUGCAGGGGUUGCCAGGCUUAAGGGGAGAGACAGGCGACCUGGGGGAAAGAGGAGAAAAGGUAGAUCUAGAUAUGCUACCUUAGGGAAUGAAUAUCACCCCCAUAAUGUUACAAGAACUGGUGUCAAUGGACAAUGAGGGAAAGGAACUAAGCCUUGUAACUACAAAGUGGAUUCACCAAUGAAUACAUAUUGAAAAUGUUAUGUAACUUUAACUGAGUGGAGUGGACAUACAAUUGUAUGAUAUUUGACAUAGCGCGAGUGAAAUUCAUUGGGUUAUUGAUGACAAAUUAUAGGUCUCAGGAUACUUUCAUAGUAUUAAUGUGCUGUAGAAAUUUGUAUGAGCAUUUGUAUGAGUCAUUAUGAGGGUCAUACCUACUGUACAUAUGUUAAAUU